rnacentral:rRNA from 1 species
GACGAACGCUGGCGGCGUGCUUAACACAUGCAAGUCGAACGAAGUGGCGAACGGGUGAGUAACGCGUAAUCAACCUGCCCUUCAGAGGGGGACAACAGUGGGAAACGACUGCUAAUCCCGCAAGCUGAGGGAGGGGCUUGCGUCUGAUUAGCUAGUUGGGUGGGUAACGGCCCCACAAGGCGAUGAUCAGUAGCCGGUCUGGGAGGAUGAACGGCCACAUUGGGACUGAGACACGGCCCAGACUCCUACGGGAGGCAGCAGUGGGGAAUCUUCCGCAAUGGACGAAAGUCUGACGGAGCAACGCCGCGUGAGUGAUGAAGGCCUUCGGGUUGUAAAGCUCUGUUAAUCGGGACGCGGUACCGGAAUAGAAAGCCACGGCUAACUACGUGCCAGCAGCCGCGGUAAUUC